rnacentral:rRNA from 1 species
AUCAUGGCUCAGGAUAAACGCUGACAGAAUGCUUAACACAUGCAAGUCUAUGAGGAAGUUUAGCUUGCUAAAUGGACUCAUGGCGGACGGGUGAGUAACGCGUAAAGAACUUGCCCUUUAGACUGGGAUAACAGAGGGAAACUUCUGAUAAUACUGGAUAAGUUAGUAUAUCGCAUGAUAUGCAAAUGAAAGCUACGGCACUAAAGGAGAGCUUUGCGUCCUAUUAGCUAGUUGGUAAGGUAAGAGCUUACCAAGGCGAUGAUAGGUAGCCGGCCUGAGAGGGUGGACGGCCACAAGGGGACUGAGAUACGGCCCUUACUCCUACGGGAGGCAGCAGUGGGGAAUAUUGGACAAUGGAGGGAACUCUGAUCCAGCAAUUCUGUGUGUGUGAAGAAGGUUUUAGGACUGUAAAACACUUUUAGUAGGGAAGAAAAAAAUGACGGUACCUACAGAAGAAGCAACGGCUAAAUACGUGCCAGCAGCCGCGGUAAUACGUAUGUUGCGAGCGUUAUCCGGAAUUAUUGGGCUUAAAGGGCAUCUAGGCGGUAAGACAAGUUGAAGGUGAAAACCUGUGGCUCAACCAUAGGCUUGCCUACAAAACUGUUGAACUAGAGUACUGGAAAGGUGGGUGGAACUACACGAGUAGAGGUGAAAUUCGUAGAUAUGUGUAGGAAUGCCGAUGAUGAAGAUAACUCACUGGACAGAAACUGACGCUGAAGUGCGAAAGCUAGGGGAGCAAACAGGAUUAGAUACCCUGGUAGUCCUAGCUGUAAACGAUGAUCACUGGGUGUGGGGAUGCGAAGUCUCUGUGCCGAAGCAAAAGCGAUAAGUGAUCCGCCUGGGGAGUACGUUCGCAAGAAUGAAACUCAAAGGAAUUGACGGGG